rnacentral:lncRNA from 1 species
UGAGACUUCAGGUAUAAGCUAUAAGGUCCUCCAUCCCAUAUAUACCUGGAUAAAGCAUUCAUAUUCCUCCUUGGACACUUGUGCCUGCAUUCUAUUUGCACAAGCAUUCACAGCCCUUCCAGCCUUUGGAAAAUUUACAGCACAUGAAAAGCCUCCAUACUGACAGGAGCUUACCAGCCUGGCCAGGCUUUGCUAGCUCCACACAAAGC